UUCCCUUCCUGCAGGAGCUACUCUGCCCCACCUUCCUUCCUGGAGAGGAGGACCUGCCCUUUCCUCCUGCAGAGCUGCCCUGAGAGAAGAACACUGCGAAGGCAAGAUAGUUUCUGGAAGUCUCUGCAGGGCUGAGGUCAGAAAGAAGGUUCCGACAAGAAGGGAGAGGACAAUAGAAGAGGCUUUCCACUGGGUGGAAUUUUAAAUUUGAACAAUGGUUCAAAGGCUAAGAGACAAACUGCUCAUUACUGGCAAGAGUGCCAAGAAUCCUGGGAAGUCGACCUCACUCCCCACUGGAGCACUGCACCUCAUAGUAAGGGCUUCUUUCAUAGUCACGGGAAGGUUGGAUCAGCAUUUCUUUUCAUUCCCAUCUUCUUUCAGGAACUGCUGGGAUAAAAGGGAGCCUAGGCGAAUAAAAAAUUCACAAACAGGACAAGAAUAAAAUAUUUAGCGCAAGAGAUCAGAAAUCCUUUGGUUACUCAGUGAACUGAACUAACUCUACUAAGAAAAGGUAUAAGGAAAUAAAUGUCCAUCAAAGUCCAAGUCACAGCAGGUAUUAGCCUUCAGACCCAUUCACACAGGUUCUAAGCAAGGUUGUCCUUCAUAGUAAGUUGCAGAGACUCAUAUUAAUCCAGUGAUAAAAUGGAACAGUUUUGUCAU